UACAGAGGGUGCAAGCGUUGUUCGGAAUUAUUGGGCGUAAAGGGCGCGUAGGCGGUUCGGCAAGUCUCUAGUGAAAUCUCUGGGCUCAACUCAGAGUCUGCUGGGGAAACUGCCGGGCUUGAGUGUGGGAGAGGAGAGUGGAAUUCCCGGUGUAGCGGUGAAAUGCGUAGAGAUCCGGAGGAACCCCAGAGGCGAAGGCGGCGCCCUGGCUCGCAACUGACGCUCAGACACGACAGCAUGGGGAGCGAACGGG
rnacentral:rRNA from 1 species